GAUGAAGAACGUAGCGAAAUGCGAUAAGUAGUGUGAAUUGCAGAAUUCAGUGAAUCAUCGAAUCUUUGAACGCACAUUGCGCCCCAUGGUAUUCCGUGGGGCAUGCCUGUUCGAGCGUCAUUUACCCCCUCCAGCUCCGCUUGGUGUUGGGCGUCUGUCCCGCUUCGCGCGCGGACUCGCCCCAAAGGUAUUGGCAGCGGUCGUGCCAGCUUCUCGCGCAGCACAUUGCGCUUCUCGAGGCACCGGUGGGCCCGCGUCCAUCAAGCUCACCCCCCCAGUUUGACCUCGGAUCAGGUAGGGAUACCCGCUGAACUUAAGCAUAUCAAUAAGCGGAGGA
rnacentral:misc_RNA from 1 species